AAUUUUCUAACAAGUGAUUUGAGGCUUGGAUAACUCCAGUAAUGAAUUAGAAAGAAGUAUGUGCUUAACAACAGCGUGCUGAAUAAGGUAUGGGUACUUUGAGUUCUUGAUCAUGAUAUGAAGAAUUAAAGAAUGUGUCAGUUGCAUUUGUGAACCCCCCUUAAACAGAGAAUUUUGGUAUUGUUGAGAUCACUUCGUGACUGUGUGUCUAGAUGACAUCUUGGACGUAUUUUAAGAGACAAUAGGCACGUAUGAGAUAGUUAAAUGUCGGUUGACCGAGUGAAACCUUUUGGGACACACAAUUUCGGUUGAAAGCAUUUU
rnacentral:lncRNA from 1 species